AAACCCACUAAUACAAGAGAGAAGAGAGAGAGAGAGAAAUCCAAAGGAAAAAAAAAAAAAAAGAAGCCAUUUUUCGAUUUCUGUUCUG
rnacentral:ribozyme from 15 species